AAGCCAUUGGAAUGGGAAAGGACUCUCAAAGUGUGCCAGCUGCAGCCGACUUGUACAAGAAAGCAAAUGAUAUAUUAGGGUAUGAUCUUCUAGAGCUCUGCAGCAGUGGUCCAAAGGAGAAGCUGGAUUCAACUGUGAUAAGCCAGCCUGCUAUUUAUGUCACCAGUCUAGCUGCAGUUGAGGUGCUUCGAGAACGUGAUGGAGGUCAGCAGAUAAUUGAUUCUGUUGAUGUUACAUGUGGUCUCAGCUUGGGAGAGUAUACUGCUCUAGCAUUUGCUGGAGCUUUCAGCUUUGAGGAUGGACUCAAGCUGGUCAAACUGAGGGGUGAAGCCAUGCAGGAAGCAGCUGAUACUGCAAAAAGUGCGAUGGUCAGUGUCAUUGGACUGGACUCUGACAAAGUGCAACAGUUGUGUGAUGCUGCCAAUCAAGAUGUCGAUGAAGCUAAUAAAGUUCAGAUUGCAAAUUACCUAUGUCCUGGGAAUUAUGCUGUAUCUGGUGGUGUGAAGGGAGUGGAAGCAGUAGAAGCUAAGGCAAAGUCUUUCAAAGCUCGAAUGACGGUGCGGCUAGCUGUUGCUGGUGCUUUCCAUACAAGUUUCAUGGAACCAGCUGUCUCAAGAUUGGAAGCUGCAUUGGCAGCAACAGACAUUAAACCUCCAAGAAUACCGGUUAUAUCCAAUGUUGAUGCUCAGCCACAUGCAGAUCCUGCCACAAUCAAGAAGAUAUUAGCACGCCAGGUGACUUCUCCUGUUCAAUGGGAAACAACCGUGAAUACACUUCUAACCAAAGGGCUGAAGAAGGGUUACGAAUUAGGACCUGGAAAGGUCAUUGCUGGCAUUGUCAAGAGAAUGGACAAGGGCGCUAACAUUGAGAAUAUUGGUGCUUGAAGGGGUAGCCUGAAGUGCCUGAGGCACGAAAUCGAGAAUAUCGGUUCUUGAAUGCAGCUAUAGAAAUUGGUGCAUAGGAUGGUUCAAUUAUUGAAUACAGGAAACAAC
rnacentral:misc_RNA from 1 species